rnacentral:rRNA from 1 species
GUUGUAUGGUUAAGUGACUAAGCGUACACGGUGGAUGCCUUGGCAGUCAGAGGCGAUGAAAGACGUAGUAACUUGCGAUAAGCCCAGAUUAGGUAGUAACAACCAUUUGAGUCUGGGAUUUCUGAAUGGGGAAACCCACGUGCAUAAGCACGUAUCCUUACCUGAAUACAUAGGGUAAGGAGGCGAACCGGGGGAACUGAAACAUCUAAGUACCCCGAGGAAAAGAAAUCAACCGAGAUUCCGAAAGUAGCGGCGAGCGAAAUUGGACUAGCCCUUAAGCUUUACACGCGUUAGACGAACGGUC